CUCCCUUUUGAACCAAAUUUAUUUGUGUAAUCCUCCCCUUUAGGGGUUUUGAUUCAAUCAUUAUUGUUUAAUUCAGAACAAAAUGACGACCACGAGAAAAAACAUGUCACCUCCUGGUCUGGUUAACAAUCUCCAGGAAGUUCUUCUUAGCAGAAAGGGAGGGAACUCCGACAA